GAUGAACGCUGGCGGCGUGCCUAAUACAUGCAAGUCGAGCGAACAGACGAGGAGCUUGCUCCUCUGACGUUAGCGGCGGAUGGGUGAGUAACACGUGGAUAACCUACCUAUAAGACUGGGAUAACUUCGGGAAACCGGAGCUCAUACCGGAUAAUAUAUUAAACCGCAAGGUUCCAUAGUGAAAGACGGUUUUGCUGUCACUUAUAGAUGGAUCCGCGCCGCAUUAGCUAGUUGGUAAGGUAACGGCUUACCAAGGCGACGAUGCGUAGCCGACCUGAGAGGGUGAUCGGCCACACUGGAACUGAGACACGGUCCAGACUCCUACGGGAGGCAGCAGUAGGGAAUCUUCCGCAAUGGGCGAAAGCUUGACGGAGCAACGCCGCGUGAGUGAUGAUGGUCUUCGGAUCGUAAAGCUCUGUUAUUAGGGAAGAACAAAUGUGUAAGUAACUAUGCACGUCUUGACGGUACCUAAUCAGAAAGCCACGGCUAACUACGUG
rnacentral:rRNA from 1 species